AAUAAAAGGCGACAGAAAUCCACCUCUUUAGACUGGCUCCCCUACUGUGGAGUAUGUCAGCUCCCCAGGGAAAUUGAGCACCGUGACCACUGCACGUGGUCCUGUCUCAGGGCCUGUGGUGGAAACAGGAGGUUCAGAAAGUGACUUUCUCACCACCUUUCAGCGCUGCCACCACUGACGAGGAGCGGCAGCACCUCCAGGAGGUUGGUCUUUUCCACCUGGGCGAAUUUGUCAAUGUCUUUUGCCACGGCUCUCUGGUAAUGCAGAAUCUGGGUGAGACUUCCACCCCCACACAAGGCUCGGUGCUCUUCGGCACGGUCAACGGCAUGAUAGGGCUGGUGACCUCACUGUCAGAGAGCUGGUACAACCUCCUGCUGGACAUGCAGAAUCGACUCAAUAAAGUCAUCAAAAGUGUGGGGAAGAUCGAGCACUCCUUCUGGAGAUCCUUUCACACCGAGCGGAAGACAGAACCAGCCACAGGUUUCAUCGACGGUGACUUGAUUGAGAGUUUCCUGGAUAUUAGCCGCCCCAAGAUGCAGGAGGUGGUGGCAAACCUACAGUAUGACGAUGGCAGCGGUAUGAAGCGAGAGGCCACUGCAGACGACCUCAUCAAGGUUGUGGAGGAGCUAACUCGGAUCCAUUAGCCAAGGGCAGGGGGCCCCUUUUCUGACCUUCCCCAAAGGCUUUGCCCUGCUGCCCUCCCCCUCCUCUCCACCAUCGUCUUCUUGGCCAUGGGAGGCCUUUCCCUAAGCCAGCUGCCCCCAGAGCCACAGUUGCCCUAUGUGGAAGUGGGGCGGGCUUCAUAGAGACCUGGGAAUGAGCUGAAGGUGAAACAUUUUCUCCCUGGAUUUUUACCAGUCUCACAUGAUUCCAGCCAUCACCUUAGACCACCAAGCCUUGAUUGGUGGUGCCAGUUGUCCUCCUUCCAGGGAGGGAUUUUGCAGAUCUUUGGCUGAAAGGAAGCUGUGCGUGUGUGUGUGUGUAUAUGUGUGUGUGUGUGUGUGUAUCUCACACUCAUGCAUUGUCCUCUAUCUUUUUAGAUUGGCAGUGUAGGGAGUUGUGGGUAGUGGGGAAGAGGGUUAGGAGGGUUUCAUUGUCUGUGAAGUGAGACCUUCCUUUUACUUUUCUUCUAUUGCCUCUGAGAGCAUCAGGCCUAGAGGCCUGACUGCCAAGCCAUGGGCAGCCUGCGUGUAAAACCUGGAGAUGGUGGAUGAUCCCCACGCCAC
rnacentral:sRNA from 1 species